UGAAGAAUGAACUCUUAUCUUAGAAUUUAAAAAGAAUGAAAGUUCCUCUUCCUGUUGGUGGAAAUGUGAGGACAGAGCACUGAAGGAAAAUGUCAGGAAAAUGAGAUCAGAGCUGAACACCUGCUCAGCCAGAAACACAAAACCUCAGAGCGACGACGCGAGCAGAUCAAACAGCUCCAUGACUCACCUGUGCUCAGGUAAUAAACACACAAAUAACACACUCCUGGCUUCACUCGACGUGCUGCGGGGCAAUAAACCCCUCUCCUGCUGCUGCGGGGCGGGCAGUAAACCCCUCUCCUGCUCCUGCGGGGUGGGCAGUAAACCCCUCUCCUGCUCCUGCGGGGCGGGCAGUAAACCCCUCUCCUGUUGGUGAGCUGAAGCCCCGCCCACUCCUUCCGGCUCAUUGGACGCGCUGGCAAGGUAACGCACAGCCGAGGCCCCGCCCCCGUAUGGAAAUCAGUCGCCAUCCGCUUUAUCCUUCUACAGGGUCGCAGGCAAGCUGGAGCCCAUCCCAGCUGACUACGGGUGAAAGGCGGGGUACACCCUGGACAAGUCGCCAGGUCAUCACAGGGCUGACACAUAGACACA